rnacentral:rRNA from 1 species
GACGAACGCUGGCGGCGUGCCUAAUACAUGCAAGUCGAGCGGACCAAUAGAAAAGCUUGCUUUUCUUGAGGUUAGCGGCGGACGGGUGAGUAACACGUGGGCAACCUACCUGUAAGACUGGGAUAACUUACGGAAACGUGAGCUAAUACCGGAUAGUUUCACUUCUCGCAUGAGAAGUGAAGGAAAGAUGGCUUUUAGCUAUCACUUACAGAUGGGCCCGCGGCGCAUUAGCUAGUUGGUGGGGUAAAGGCCUACCAAGGCGACGAUGCGUAGCCGACCUGAGAGGGUGAUCGGCCACACUGGGGGACUGAGACACGGGCCCAGACUCCUACGGGAGCAGCAGUAGGGAAUCUUCCGCAAUGGACAAAGUCUGACGGAGCAACGCCGCGUGAGCGAAGAAGGUCUUC